AGAAUUCUCAGCACAGAGGUCAAAGUUUAGGAAAAGAAGUCAAGACAGACAGAGUGCCUGGCCAUCCCCAAGACCUGCAAGGACAGUCAUAGGCCUAAUCUACAGGCUUCUAAAAAAGACUUCAUAUUACCAUUUAUGAAUGAAGAAACAGGGGCUCAAAGAUGUGAAUCAGUUGGUCCUCAGUAUACAGGAAAUACAUGCUAUACAAGAUUUCCUUCCAUUUCUUGGAUUUGCCAACCUCUUCCCCACAGUAGAACCUUUGUACAUGCUAUUCCUCCUCCUACUGCUACUCUGCAAUGCUUACUCAUACUCAUCAUUCAGGCCAAUUCUGGAAACAGAUGUUGACACGCUGAGCUCAGCUGGACCACAAAUGGCUGAUCUGAGUUUUUCAACUGCAUCAUUUUCACGAACAGAGUUGAGCUGUCCAAACUCCAGCAUAUCCAUUUUGCUACUGAGAACCAAUCACAGAUAAAGCUAACACAGGCACCUCGAAGAUCCAGUUUUCAAGAUGUUGGAUGAACAUUAAGUAGAUCAGACUUCAAAACUUCAGAGCCAAAAGUAGUAGCUAACCUAUGGAAGUCCUAUGAAAUACAGCUAAGAUAAUACUUUUAAAACCUCAUGAAAGUUUUCUUACAGAGACCACCCAUGGGCACACAGUAACAGCAGUGUAUUAACUUAGGGAAUCUCAACAGCAUAAUUUUCUAUUUAUAUUUAAAAAAAAAUUCUCUUAAAAGCUAAAUCUGCUCCUUUCACAGAAAGAAGAGUCAGAUAGGUAGCCUAAAUAAAAAAGUGGUUCAACCACUCUUGAAUAAAUAAUGGAUGACUAUAAUUGUACUGGUCCUAUAGUCAUAGUACUUCCUAGGCAUUCAAGGACUCAGAAAGGCUAAGAGUGUGUGUAUGGCAGUGUCAUGAACUGACCACAUUAAAGUUCUCUCUGUCUCCCUCUCCUUCCCUCCACCCCCUCCCGUAAGAACACUUAACAUGAGAUCUGCCCUCUUAAGAUACAAGUUUAAGUCUGCAACACCAUAUUGUUAAUGAUAGGCACAAUGUUGUGCGGCAGAUGUCUACAGCUUAACCAUCUUGUAUAACUGAAAUCCUGUAAC